UACGAAGGGUCCUAGCGUUAAUCGGAGUUACUGGGCUUAAAGGGUGCGUAGGCGGAUCGGUAAGUGUUUUGUGAAAUCCCACUGCUCAACGGUGGAAUUGCUUGACAUACUGUCGAUCUUGAGGUCGGAAGAGGUUGCUGGAACUCUAGGUGUAGCGGUGAAAUGCGUAGAUAUCUAGAGGAACGCCCAAGGCGAAGGCAGGCAACUGGGCCGAUUCUGACGCUGAGGCACGAAAGCGUGGGGAGCGAACGGG
rnacentral:rRNA from 1 species